ACUCGAAGAUCAUACCUAGAGUUGCGGGCUUUGCCUGCUAUCUCUUACCCAUGUCUUUUGAGUACCUUCGUUUCCUCGGCGGGUUCGCCCGCCGAUUGGACAAUUUAAACCAUUUGCAGUUGCAAUCAGCGUCUGAAAAAACUUAAUAGUUACAACUUUCAACAACGGAUCUCUUGGUUCUGGCAUCGAUGAAGAACGCAGCGAAAUGCGAUAAGUAGUGUGAAUUGCAGAAUUCAGUGAAUCAUCGAAUCUUUGAACGCACAUUGCGCCCCUUGGUAUUCCAUGGGGCAUGCCUGUUCGAGCGUCAUUUGUACCUUCAAGCUCUGCUUGGUGUUGGGUGUUUGUCUCGCCUCUGCGCGCAGACUCGCCUCAAAACAAUUGGCAGCCGGCGUAUUGAUUUCGGAGCGCAGUACAUCUCGCGCUUUGCACUCAUAACGACGACGUCCAAAAGUACAUUUUUACACUCUUGACCUCGGAUCAGGUAGGGAUCCCGCUGACUAGCAU
rnacentral:rRNA from 1 species